rnacentral:lncRNA from 1 species
AUUUCUUAUACCUUUUCUAUUAAUCAUUGAUAUUGUAUCAGUCAGCUAACACAAUAGUAAAUCUCCCUCUCAGGGCUUACAACAAUAAAUGUUUUAUUUUCUGCUCUGUAUCUUCCAGUUUGUUGAGCUUUGGCUGAUUUCAGCUGAGCGAGCCUGGACUCAGCAGCAGUCACCUGGACUCCAGACUUUCAGUCAUCCUAAUAGUUGCGAAGAAGGCCAUGAGUGCUGGCUCAUACCUGUAAUAGCAGUACUUUGGAAGGCUGAGGUGGGCUGAUCACCUGAGGUCAGAAGUUCGAGACCAGCCUGGCCAACACAAUGAAACCCUGUCUCUACUAAAAAUCUGAAAAAAAAAAAAAAAAAAAAAAAAAAAUUAGCCGGGCGUUGUGGUAUGUGCCUGUAGCCCCAGCUAGUCCGGAGGCUGAGGCAGGAGAAUUGCUUGAACCUGGGAGGAGGAGGCUGCAGUGAGGUGAGACUGUGCCACUGCACUCCAACCUGGUUGACAGAGUGAGACUCUGUCUCAAAAAAAAUAUCGUUGCGAAGUAGUGUAAUAAUAUCUCACUGUGAUUUUGAUUUUUAUUUCCUGAAUGACUAAUGAUGUUAACUCUCUUUUUAUGUACUUGUUGGCUAUUUGUACAUUUUCUUUGAAAAUGUAUAUACCAGUUCUUUGCCCAUUUUUAAAAUAGGUUCUUUAGUUUAAUUAAUUCUUAAUAAUUUAUCUUUAUAUUGCAUUUGCUUUUAGGUUCUUGGUCAUGAAAUCCUUGCUUAAGCCAAUGUCUAGAAGGGUUUUUCCAAUGUUAUCGUCUAGAAUUUUUAUGGUCUCAGGUCUUAGAUUUAAAUCUUUAAUCCAUCUUGAGCUGAUUUUUGUAUAAGGUGAGAGAUGAGCAUCCAGUUUCAUUCUCCUACAUGUGGCUAGCCAAUUAUCCCAGCAUCAUUUGUUGAAAAGGGUGUCCUUUCCCCACUUUAUGUUUUUGUUUACUUUGUUGAAGAUCAAUUGGCUCUAAGUAUUUGGAUUUAUUUCUGGGUUUUCUAUUCUGUUCCAUUGGUUUAUGUGCCUAUUUUUAUACCAGAGCUUUUGCACUGCAAAAGGAACAGUCAGCAGAGUAAAUAGACACCUGAAGAGUGGGAAAAAAUAUUCACACUCUAUACAUCUGAGAAAGGACUAAUAUCCAGAAUCUACAAUGAACUCAAACAAAUCAACAAGGAAAAAACAAACAAUCCCAUCAAAAAGUGGACUAAGGACAUGAAUAGACAAUUCUCAAAAGAAGAUAUACAAAUGGCCAACAAACAUAUGAAAAAAUGCUCAACAUCACUAAUGAUCAAGGAUGAGUGCACCAAAUCUCACAAAUCACCACUAAAGAACUUACUCAUGUAACCAAACACCACCUGUUCCCCAAUAAACUAUGGAAAUUUAAAAAAUAGCUUCUUUGUCUUCUGUUAUUGAGUUUUAAAGAUUCUUUAUAUAUUUUGGAUAUUAAAUCCUUAUGAGAUAUAUGAUUUGCAAAUUUUUUCCAUUCUGUAAGCUAUCUCUCACUUUCUUCAUAAUGUCCUUUAAUGAACCGAUGUUUUUAAUUUUGAUAAAGUUCAACUUAUCUAGUUUUUUGUUGCUGUGGUAUUUUUGGUGUCAUAUUUAAAAAUCCAUUGCCAAAUCCCAGUUCAUAUUUAUCCCUAAGAGUAUCACGGUUUUGGCUCUCAUAUUUGAG